AAGAGCACUGCGUGUUGAACUGAAGACUCUGAGUACAGAAAGCCCAUUUAUAAGAGAAAUAAAGUUUGCCCACAGAUAACAUAACCAAAGUUCUUCAGGAUGAACUCUGCUCAUUCACAGCCACUACGAGGAGUUCCCUUUUGCUUUGAGUUUCAGUUUCAGUUCUGCUGUUGAGGAACCUGUUUGAGCAAUGAGCAAGCACCUCCUUGGGCUCCCUGGGAGGCACUGCUAGAAAGAUGCUCUGCUGCUGCAGGCAGUGCUUCUGUAGCAUCACUCGUGACAAUGUGCUACUGUUGCCUUGAAGGGAUGCCAGCUUCAGCACUACUCAUCUAACACCACUGAGUGGCAGAUAGCAAUGAACAACUCUGUAUGCAACAUUGUAUUUGACCAAGGAGAAACUGAUGAAUCUUCACUGUGUUCAACAAGCUAUGAAAUUUCUAGUCCAGUGCCAGUGAAACUGGGACACUGCAGCAUCAUAAACUAUCACUAUGUUGAUAACACACAGGCUAUUAACCUUCCAAAACAUUCACCUCGGAGGCUAAACUUCGCAGUACUUCAGCUUCGAUUCUGAGAAAUGUCUCUAUUCCACAACAACAUGAUAAGUGAGAGUGAAUUAAGUCCCUCGUGCAACAAAUGGUAAGCAUAUGCCAGAGCGAAGCAGGGGCUUAAACAGCUUUCUGAACUUAGUCCUUCUCAAAAGUAACAUUUUUAUUUUAGCAGGUUUGAGCAAUACCUCUUCAUCCAUCUUUAAAUAACAAGAGAAUGGCAAUAGGAGACGUGAUCAGACUGAACUUCUCUCUAUAAAAGCAUUUUAAAAUAUGGCACUUUACCAAUAGUAUUCUUGGAGGAUUUGCAAAACACAGCAGAAAUUCAGAAGAAUUGAAAACUGAGAGCUCCAAAAGAAACCGGUAGGCCUGCAAAGGCAUAUUAGUGUCCUUGACCUGAAGAAAAAGAAAGAAAGAAAAAAAAAAAGACACUCAAAAAACCUAAAUUUCUUGUGUGUGGGGGGGGGGGGAAUCAUAGAAUCAUAGAAUGGCUUAGGUUGGAAGGGACAUUAAAGAUCAUUGAGCUCUAGCCCCACUGCCCUGGGCAGGGUUGCCACCCACAAGAUUGAGCUGCCCAGGGCCCCAUCCAGCCUGGCCUUGUAUGCCUCGAACUGACAGCAGCACCACCUAAACAAGUAGUUUAUACUCUGUUAGUUGAUGGUAAUAUUUGCUUAAUAGGGCAGGUGGAAAGGGUUGUUCACAGAAAGUAGCUGAGCUGAUUAUUAAACUACUGCUACUUCAAGAGCUUAAAGUGAGUACUA
rnacentral:lncRNA from 1 species